rnacentral:rRNA from 1 species
UACAGAGGUGGCAAGCGUUGUUCGGAAUUACUGGGCGUAAAGGGCGCGUAGGCGGCCCACUAAGUCAGACGUGAAAUCCCCCGGCUUAACCUGGGAACUGCGUCUGAUACUGGAGGGCUUGAGUAUGGGAGAGGGAUGUAGAAUUCCAGGUGUAGCGGUGAAAUGCGUAGAUAUCUGGAGGAAUACCGGUGGCGAAGGCGGAUCUCUGGACAGUUCCUGACACUGAGGCACGAAGGCUAGGGGAGCAAACGGG